GAAACCAAAUGAAAUUAUGUGUUUGUUCACUUUUCUCUCCACGAUGCCUCGACUUAGAAUGGUGAUCAUGCAUAGACUGACAUAUUCCUUCGUCACUGAAUCCAGGUUCCAAACGUGGAUGUUUCUAAUGUCUUUGCGACGUGAGGAUACUUAAAAUCUGUCGAGCCUUAAGUCCUAUCGAGAUCUUGCUGGUAGGGAAAGAGUGAUAUAGGAUCAUGGGGUAAUAUCUACCUGGCGAACUCUUAGUCAAAAUUGGGAUGGAGUUGAGGCAGGUAGCCCUCCUGUACUUUGCCUAGAUCAAAUAAUACAAUUUAAUUCAUAUGAUACAUUAUAACAAUGAUCAGUGAAGACCAGAUUAUAAGAUAUCUUUCCUUAAUAAUCUCUUUCCGGCGAUCUUAAACCAACCAGUCUUGUAUGUUCAGCCUAACAUUUAUAAAAUGUAUUAAAAUAAUUAGUCGUGUAUUCCUUAGGAAAGAUAUUGACGUUGUUUAUUGCAAUAGGCUAAUAAACUUUCGUAAACUCCCAUUUUUAAACUAAAGUGGCGUUCAAAAAAAGUAAUGAUACCUAACCGCAUGCAAUUAUUACGUCAUGGAGUAAAAG